UUGCUUUCAAUGAACAACAAGUGUGGCCAUCAACUAUGUUUCAUCCAGGCCUCAAGAACACCACAGCCAGACACAAGUCGGAGGUAACGGUCAUUCCAUUUUGCGUAUGGGUAAUGCAAAAAGCAAAGCCGGUGAACAUCAACAAGAAGAGGACGUAGCUACAGGUCAGGCGAGUGGUAAAAAUGUUGAAGAAUACAGUGCAACCUUUGAUACUGAAAAAGAUGAAGCUAUUUGCGCAACAGAACCCGCCCCUACGAGCGAGACAAAUCUGAAAGAAUAUAAUCCAAGCAUCUUAACCGUAGCUGCAAAUCUUGACCCAAUUUACACGACGGAAACAGAUGGAUCAGAAUGGGUAAGGCCUGGAUACCAUGCUGAUGGCCAAACAUUUGCGGCUACGGCUAAUCUAUCACUAGAUCAUGCUAUUAAUAAGAUGCAGCUGCGAGAUGAUACUGAAGGUAUCCAUAGGCAUGAUAUCCACCUUCCCAACCGGCGUAUUCGGCAGUGGUUCAGUGUGUUUUAUUUGUUUUUUGAUUUGUACUUAUAACAUGAUGCAGACGACACAGCUUCCGAACUGCUUGAAACUGUUUCUC